rnacentral:piRNA from 1 species
AAGCUGUAGGCUUUCUUUCGAUCUUG